AGCAGCCGCGGUAAUUCCAGCUCCAAUAGCGUAUAUUAAAGUUGUUGCAGUUAAAAAGCUCGUAGUUGAAUUUCGGGGUCAGUAAGUUGGUCGUGCCACUGGUAUGUACUGGCUUUACUGAUUCCUCCUUCUUGUAGAACCGUAAUGCCAUUAAGUUGGUGUUGCGGGAAAUUUGGACUGUUACUUUGAAAAAAUUAGAGUGUUUAAAGCAAGCUAACGCUUGAAUACAUUAGCAUGGAAUAAUGAAAUAGGACGUUCGAUCUUAUUUUGUUGGUUUCUAGGAUUGACGUAAUGAUUAAUAGGGAUAGUUGGGGGCAUUAGUAUUCAAUUGUCAGAGGUGAAAUUCUUGGAUUUAUUGAAGACUAACUACUGCGAAAGCAUUUGCCAAGGAUGUUUUCAUUAAUCAAGAACGAAAGUUAGGGGAUCGAAGACGAUCAGAUACCGUCGUAGUCUUAACCAUAAACUAUGCCGACUAGGGAUCGGAUGAUGUUAAUUUUUUAAUGACUCAUUCGGCGCCUUA
rnacentral:rRNA from 1 species